rnacentral:rRNA from 1 species
AGAGUUUGAUCCUGGCUCAGAACGAACGCUGGCGGCAUGCCUAACACAUGCAAGUCGAACGCCUGUAGCAAUACAGGAGUGGCAGACGGGUGCAAAACGCGUGGAAACCUAUCCUUGGGUUCGGAAUAACCGCGGGAAACUGCGGCUAAUACCGGAUACGUCCUUCGGGAGAAAGAUUUAUCGCCCAUUGAGGGGUCCGCGUCUGAUUAGCUAGUUGGUGAGGUAAUGGCUCACCAAGGCGACGAUCAGUAGCUGGUCUGAGAGGAUGAUCAGCCACACUGGAACUGAGACACGGUCCAGACUCCUACGGGAGGCAGCAGUGGGGAAUAUUGGACAAUGGGCGCAAGCCUGAUCCAGCAAUGCCCGCGUGGGUGAUGAAGGCCUUCGGGUUGUAAAGCCCUUUUGGCGGGGACGAUGAUGACGGUACCCGCCGAAUAAGCUCCGGCUAACUUCGUG